GACGAACGCUGGCGGCGUGCUUAACACAUGCAAGUCGAACGAUGAACCCGGAGCUUGCUCCGGUGGAUUAGUGGCGAACGGGUGAGUAACACGUGAGUAACCUGCCCUUGACUCUGGGAUAACUGCGGGAAACUGUAGCUAAUACCGGAUACGACCCUCGGCGGCAUCGCCAGGGGGUGGAAAGAAUUUCGGUCAAGGAUGGACUCGCGGCCUAUCAGCUAUGUGGUGAGGUAACGGCUCACCAAGGCGACGACGGGUAGCCGGCCUGAGAAGGUGACAGGGCACACUGGGACUGAGACACGGCCCAGGCUCCUACGGGGGGCAGCAGUGGGGAAUAUUGCACAAUGGGCGCAAGCCGGAUGCAGCAACGCCGCGUGAGGGAUGACGGCCUUCGGGUUGUAAACCUCUUUUAGUAGGGAAGAAGCGAAAGUGACGGUACCUGCAGAAAAAGCACCGGCUAACUACGUGCCAGCCGCCGCCGUAA
rnacentral:rRNA from 1 species